rnacentral:lncRNA from 1 species
GUGAAGUUUAUCUUCACAGCAUCUGUUCACCUUUCUUUUCCCUUUCCCUCUGUGAUGCUGUUAAAGCAGAUUCCUGGGCACCAUUCCUAAAGACUCCGAUUGGACUGAAUGCAAGAGCCAUUCUCACUGGGAUGCCACAGCUCUGGAGACUUCUCAUAGAUGGUGUUUGGAACACUCCAGGCUUGCAGAUGGGCCUUUAG